rnacentral:misc_RNA from 1 species
CAGCGCUUCUCCCACGGAAUCACCGGCGAAUCGAGCGCGUCGAGCGUGGCGAAGUUCGGAUCCCAGAUGAUUUCCACGCCCUUGAAGUACAGGCCGGUGGAUGCACCUUCGCCGACACCGGCGUCGAGCUUCUUCGGACCGUCAGCAGACGUUUCCUGAUAGAUGCCGGAAAUGCCGUACUUGCGAUAU